rnacentral:rRNA from 1 species
AACGAACGCUGGCGGCAUGCCUAACACAUGCAAGUCGAACGAGACCUUCGGGUCUAUUGGCGCACGGGUGCGUAACGCGUGGGAACCUGCCCUUAGGUUCGGAAUAACUCCCCGAAAGGGGUGCUAAUACCGGAUAAUGUCUUCGGACCAAAGAUUUAUCGCCUUUGGAUGGGCCCGCGUUGGAUUAGCUAGUUGGUAGGGUAAAAGCCUACCAAGGCGACGAUCCAUAGCUGGUCUGAGAGGAUGAUCAGCCACACUGGGACUGAGACACGGCCCAGACUCCUACGGGAGGCAGCAGUGGGGAAUAUUGGACAAUGGGCGAAAGCCUGAUCAAGCAAUGCCGCGUGAGUGAUGAAGGCCUUAGGGUUGUAAAGCUCUUUUACCCGGGAUGAUAAUGACAGUACCGGGAGAAUAAGCUCCGGCUAACUCCGUG